GACGAACGCUGGCGGCGUGCUUAACACAUGCAAGUCGAACGGAAAGGCCCUGCUUUUGUGGGGUGAUCGAGUGGCGAACGGGUGAGUAACACGGGAGUAACCUGCCCUUGACUUUGGGAUAACUUCAGGAAACUGGGGCUAAGACCGGAUAGGAUCCCCCGCUGCAUGGUGGGGGUUGGAAAGUUUCGGCGGUUGGGGAUGGACUCGCGGCUUAUCAGCUUGUUGGUUGGGUAGUUGCUUACCAAGGCUUUGACGGGUAGCCGGCAUGAGAGGGUGACCGGCCACAUUGGGACUGCGAUACGGCCCAGACUCCUACGGGAGGCAGCAGUGGGGAAUAUUGCACAAUGGGCGGAAGCCUGAUGCAGCAACGCCGCGUGCGGGAUGACGGCCUUCGGGUUGUGAACCGCUUUCGCCUGUGACGAAGCGUGAGUGACGGUAAUGGGUAAAGAAGCACCGGCUAACUACGUG
rnacentral:rRNA from 1 species